AUACUUACCUGGCAGGGGAGAUACCGUGAUCAAGAAGGCUGUUCACCCAGGGCAAGGUUCAGCCAUUGCAAAUGUGUGAAUCUCAACUGCGUAAUUUAC
ensembl:snRNA U1 U1 spliceosomal RNA